rnacentral:rRNA from 1 species
UGGGGAAUAUUGCACAAUGGGCGCAAGCCUGAUGCAGCCAUGCCGCGUGUGAGAAGAAGGCCUUCGGGUUGUAAAGCACUUUCAGCGGGGAGGAAGGCGUUAAGGUUAAUAACCUUGGCGAUUGACGUUACCCGCAGAAGAAGCACCGGCUAACUCCGUGCCAGCAGCCGCGGUAAUACGGAGGGUGCAAGCGUUAAUCGGAAUUACUGGGCGUAAAGCGCACGCAGGCGGUCUGUCAAGUCGGAUGUGAAAUCCCCGGGCUCAACCUGGGAACUGCAUUCGAAACUGGCAGGCUAGAGUCUUGUAGAGGGUGGUAGUAUUCCAGGUGUAGCGGUGAAAUGCGUAGAGAUCUGGAGGAAUACCGGUGGCGAAGGCGGCCCCCUGGACAAAGACUGACGCUCAGGUGCGAAAGCGUGGGGAGCAAACACG